UAAUCCAUUUAUUUCUGCAUCACUUAACUGACCUUGGCAGAUCUCAAAACAGCUAAGCAGUAUUGGAUCUGGUUGCUACUUGGGUAGGAGACCAACAGGAAAUGCCAGGCUGUAGAUUAC
rnacentral:rRNA from 1 species